GAUGAACGCUGGCGGCGUGCCUAAUACAUGCAAGUCGAGCGAACGGACGAGAAGCUUGCUCCUCUGAUGCUAGCGGCGGACGGGUGAGUAACACGUGGAUAACCUACCUAUAAGACUGGGAUAACUUCGGGAAACCGUAGCUAAUACCGGAUAAUAUUUUGAACCGCAUGGUUCAAAAGUGAACGACGGUCUUGCUGUCACUUAUAGAUGGAUCCGCGCUGCAUUAGCUAGUUGGUAAGGUAACGGCUUACCAAGGCAACGAUGCAUAGCCGACCUGAGAGGCUGAUCGGCCACGCUGGAACUGAGACACGGUCCAGACUCCUACGGGAGGCAGCAGUAGGGAAUCUUCCGCAAUGGGCGAAAGCCUGACGGAGCAAAGCCGCGUGAGUGAUGAAGGUCUUCGGAUCGUAAAACUCUGUUAUUAGGGAAGAACAUAUGUGUAAGUAACUGUGCACAUCUUGACGGUACCUAAUCAGAAAGCCACGGCUAACUACGUG
rnacentral:rRNA from 1 species